rnacentral:misc_RNA from 1 species
CUGGACUACCGGGGUUUCUAAUCCUGUUUGCUACCCACGCUUUCGCUCCUCAGCGUCAGUAUCGGCCCAGAGCGGCGCCUUCGCCACCGGUGUUCCUCCUAAUAUCUGCGCAUUUCACCGCUACACUAGGAAUUCCCCGCUCCCCUACCGAACUCUAGUCACAAUAGUAUCGAGUGGCGUCUCUGGGUUAAGCCCAGAGUUUUCACACCCGACUUACUGAACCGCCUACGAGCUCUUUACGCCCAAUAAAUCCGGACAACGCUUGGUGCCUACGUGUUACCGCGGCGGCUGGCAC